GUUAAAGUUAAGUGAAUUUAUCAACAAAACACAAUGGAUUAUUCGGGAUUUUUGAUUGUGAUGAAAAAAAAAUUUAAUCAUCCAGAACCUUUGGACAUCUGUGGCAUCCACUGAUUCCGGGAAGAGAUACCCGGACAACUCCCAGGCAGCAUGAAAUGUUUAUUUAAGAAGAAUCUCAUCCGUCGAUGCUGGAAGCAUUUGUGAAAGAAUACAAAUUGUUGGGACCAGCUCUACAGAGUGGCCAUAAAGAGAUGAAGUCGUGAAUGUAAAAGAAUAUUCUUAAAUAAAACGUUUUUUCGUACUCUA